rnacentral:lncRNA from 1 species
UACCAUGAGCCAAGGGAGGGAGGUGACUGGUGAGAGGCAAACAGUGAUUUGCAAGCAGAGUGGGAGAGAGACAGGUACUCCCUGCAUCCCCUCUCCCUGCCUGCUGGUCUAAUGAGAUCACUCUGUGUCCCUGUCUAGGAUUAUGGGAGCCCCAGCCAGUUCUGGGAGCAGGAGCUGGAAAGCUUACACUUUGUUAUCGAGAUGAAGAACGAGCGUAUUCACGAGCUGGACAAGCGGCUGAUCCUCAUGGAAACAGUGAAAGAGAAAAAUCUGAUGUUAGAGGAAAAAAUCACCACCUUGCAGCAGGAGAACGAGGACCUCCAUGUCCGGGGCCGCAACCAGAUGAUUAUGUCAAGGUAGCUGUUGCCCUGCCUCCUUUCCUCCCAUCACCACCAUUUGGUCAAAAUCUCCAGUUGGGAAGGUCUCAGAGAACCUAGGGAAUGGAUUGACAUGGGGCGGGGGGAGGGCAGGGGUGAAGGGCAAGCCUUUCUGGGGAAUGUGGCCCCUCUUUCCUUGGGAGUCAGGAAUCCCAAUGGACCAGCUCUACCCAGAAACCUAAGUCUCUGUGCCCGGAUUGGUAUCUGUCCCCAUCCUGGCUAAGCAGGCUCCAUGGCAAAGCCCAAUACAGGAAGAGGACACAGGAAAUUUCUAGCUGGGAUGGCCUAAUGAACGAAUGAAUGCACAUGAAUGAAUGAACCCAUUCUGAAGGCUUAGUAAAUGAGGGCUAGUAUCGUGUGUCAGACAUAAUUCAUUGAAUUCUUUACAUAUUAUCUCACCUGAUCCUCAUUACUCUACGAGCUGGUCCUCCUCCUAUUGUCCCUCCCAUUUUACAAAAUGAGGAAACUGAAAUUUGGCAAGACUAAAUAACUCGUUCCAGGUUGCAUAGCUAAGUGGUGGGGUACAGCUGAACCCGGAGCUGUGGCCCCUGAGGGCCACGUUCCUCUGGCAACGGAUCAAAUGGCCUCCUGCAAACAAGAGGGCCCAGGAGCCCAGGAGGGCGGCCCACCUGAGGAAGGCCUCCUAGAGGA